rnacentral:rRNA from 1 species
GGCAUGCUGGAGGUAUCAGAAGUGCGAAUGCUGACAUAAGUAACGAUAAAGCGGGUGAAAAGCCCGCUCGCCGGAAGACCAAGGGUUCCUGUCCAACGUUAAUCGGGGCAGGGUGAGUCGACCCCUAAGGCGAGGCCGAAAGGCGUAGUCGAUGGGAAACAGGUUAAUAUUCCUGUACUUGGUGUUACUGCGAAGGGGGGACGGAGAAGGCUAUGUUAGCCGGGCGACGGUUGUCCCGGUUUAAGCAUGUAGGCUGGUUAUCCAGGCAAAUCCGGAUAAUCAAGGCUGAGGUGUGAUGACGAGGCACUACGGUGCUGAAGUAACAAAUGCCCUGCUUCCAGGAAAAGCCUCUAAGCAUCAGGUAACAUCAAAUCGUACCCCAAACCGACACAGGUGGUCAGGUAGAGAAUACCAAGGCGCUUGAGAGAACUCGGGUGAAGGAACUAGGCAAAAUGGUGCCGUAACUUCGGGAGAAGGCACGCUGGUGUGUAGGUGAAGCCCCUGCGGGUGGAGCUGAGACCAGUCGAAGAUACCAGCUGGCUGCAACUGUUUAUUAAAAACACAGCACUGUGCAAACACGAAAGUGGACGUAUACGGUGUGACGCCUGCCCGGUGCCGGAAGGUUAAUUGAUGGGGUUAUCCGUAAGGAGAAGCUCUUGAUCGAAGCCCCGGUAAACGGCGGCCGUAACUAUAACGGUCCUAAGGUAGCGAAAUUCCUUGUCGGGUAAGUUCCGACCUGCACGAAUGGCGUAAUGAUGGCCAGGCUGUCUCCACCCGAGACUCAGUGAAAUUGAACUCGCUGUGAAGAUGCAGUGUACCCGCGGCAAGACGGAAAGACCCCGUGAACCUUUACUAUAGCUUGACACUGAACAUUGAGCCUUGAUGUGUAGGAUAGGUGGGAGGCUUUGAAGCGUGGACGCCAGUCUGCGUGGAGCCAACCUUGAAAUACCACCCUUUAAUGUUUGAUGUUCUAACGUUGGCCCCUUACCGGGGUUGCGGACAGUGUCUGGUGGGUAGUUUGACUGGGGCGGUCUCCUCCCAAAGCGUAACGGAGGAGCACGAAGGUUAGCUAAUCCUGGUCGGACAUCAGGAGGUUAGUGCAAUGGCAUAAGCUAGCUUGACUGCGAGCGUGACGGCGCGAGCAGGUGCGAAAGCAGGUCAUAGUGAUCCGGUGGUUCUGAAUGGAAGGGCCAUCGCUCAACGGAUAAAAGGUACUCCGGGGAUAACAGGCUGAUACCGCCCAAGAGUUCAUAUCGACGGCGGUGUUUGGCACCUCGAUGUCGGCUCAUCACAUCCUGGGGCUGAAGUAGGUCCCAAGGGUAUGGCUGUUCGCCAUUUAAAGUGGUACGCGAGCUGGGUUUAGAACGUCGUGAGACAGUUCGGUCCCUAUCUGCCGUGGGCGCUGGAGAAUUGAGGGGGGCUGCUCCUAGUACGAGAGGACCGGAGUGGACGCAUCACUGGUGUUCGGGUUGUCAUGCCAAUGGCACUGCCCGGUAGCUAAAUGCGGAAGAGAUAAGUGCUGAAAGCAUCUAAGCACGAAACUUGCCCCGAGAUGAGUUCUCCCUGAGACUUUAAGUCUCCUGAAGGAACGUUGAAGACGACGACGUUGAUAGGCCGGGUGUGUAAGCGCAGCGAUGCGUUGAGCUAACCGGUACUAAUGAACCGUGAGGCUUAACCUU